UGCCGCGCUGGUUCACGGAUGCGUUCGUUUCCCGCGAGCCGCGCCUGUUCGACGCGAUCCGCGACACC
rnacentral:tRNA from 1 species